UCCCGUGCGAAGUCGGAAACGCGCGCGAAAAUCUCGAAUUUAAAACGAAAAUUCAAAGGGUUAGCGCUUUGACCGACUGUUGAUGUCUCCGGAGGUUUGUGGCUUGAUCGACUGUUAAAUGUGCGCGUGAACUAUGAGACUGAUUAACUUAAUUGUUAAAUUAAUUUGAGAACGAACUCAAAUAUAGUUUUGUGUGCAGAGAUAAUGAUAGUUAAAUAAAUAAAAAGCUACAGACAAUAAUAUAUUAUUUGAACGAUAUAUGUAUAUUUUGUGAGUCAGUAACAGUUUAGUGUUAUAAGUUGAUAUUUUUAUUUGGACUUGUUUUGUGAAUUGGGUGUCGGUAAACAUUGUGAUUUUUACUGGAUAUAGUGAUUUCUGAGAUCUGCGUGAUAAAGUUUUUGUGUUUUUUCAUCGGUGUAUUUUAAAGUUUAAUCAUUGAUAAUAGCAUGAUUACGAUGGAGUGCCAGCCAGGGGGUCACGGCGGACACCUGGGGCACUCCAUGAUGCUGGAUCACACUGGCGCCAUGCAUCAGCAAGACCAGGACCAUAAAAAGAAGCGAGACAGUGGAUCACAUGUUGGCUCUUCUUCAAGUGACGG